UACGAAGGGGGCUAGCGUUGCUCGGAAUCACUGGGCGUAAAGCGCACGUAGGCGGACUCUUAAGUCGGUGGUGAAAUCCUGGAGCUCAACUCCAGAACUGCCUUCGAUACUGGGAGUCUCGAGUCCGAGAGAGGUGAGUGGAACUGCGAGUGUAGAGGUGAAAUUCGUAGAUAUUCGCAAGAACACCAGUGGCGAAGGCGGCUCACUGGCUCGGUACUGACGCUG
rnacentral:rRNA from 1 species